GCAAAUAAUCGAAUGAGACCUUGGAGGACUGAAGUGGAGAAGGGUUUCGUGUGAACAGUGGUUGAUCACGAGUUAGUCGGUCCUAAGUUCAAGGCGAAAGCCGAAAAUUUUCAAGUAAAAAAUCAAUAAGCAUAUAUUGUCAAAUCUUUAAUGAUUUUUUUGAAACACUUGAAUAAUUUUGAACGAAAGGGAAUACGGUUCCAAUUCCGUAACCUGUUGAGUAUCCGUUUGUUAUUAAAUAUGGGCCUCGUGCUCAUCCUGGCAACAGGAACGACCAUAAAGAAGCCGUCGAGAGAUAUCGGAAGAGUUUUCUUUUCUGUUUUAUAGCCGUACUACCAUGGAAGUCUUUCGCAGAGAGAUAUGGUAGAUGGGCUAGAAGAGCAUGACAUAUACUGUUGUGUCGAUAUUUUCUCCUCGGACCUUGAAAAUUUAUGGUGGGGACACGCAAACUUCUCAACAGGCCGUACCAAUAUCCGCAGCUGGUCUCCAAGGUGAAGAGUCUCUAGUC
rnacentral:rRNA from 1 species